rnacentral:rRNA from 1 species
UACAGAGGGGGCAAGCGUUGUUCGGAAUUACUGGGCGUAAAGGGCGCGUAGGCGGCCUUCUAAGUCGAACGUGAAAUCCCCGGGCUCAACCCGGGAACUGCGUCCGAUACUGGAAGGCUUGAAUCCGGGAGAGGGAUGUGGAAUUCCAGGUGUAGCGGUGAAAUGCGUAGAUAUCUGGAGGAACACCGGUGGCGAAGGCGACAUCCUGGACCGGUAUUGACGCUGAGACGCGAAAGCGUGGGGAGCGAACAGG